UAUGCAUGAGCGGACUUGCUGGAGCAUAGGAAGCUGAGCUCAGUCUCUGGAAUGCUUGUGAGAAGACUGGAUGCCGGGGCAUCCAUUCAUAAUUUCAGCCCUCCUUCGGCCAGACAGGAAGUGGAGACAGAAUUACCCAGAAGAUGGCGGGACAGUUGUCCUAAAGUGAGCACUGCCAUUGAAGGCCGGCUUUGAUAGGGAAGGAGUCACCAGGAUUACCCCGUGGUCUAUUUGACGGUGAAACUGCCAUGUGUCCAAGGACCAUUCGGGCUUGCCUCUGGUCACAAAGAUUCAACCUAUGAGAAGCUUUUUGGUUGUC
rnacentral:lncRNA from 1 species